rnacentral:rRNA from 1 species
AUUGAACGCUGGCGGCAUGCCUUACACAUGCAAGUCGAACGGCAGCACGGGAGCAAUCCUGGUGGCGAGUGGCGAACGGGUGAGUAAUAUAUCGGAACGUGCCCAGUCGUGGGGAUAACGUAGCGAAAGCUACGCUAAUACCGCAUACGAUCUAUGGAUGAAAGCGGGGGAUCGCAAGACCUCGCGCGAUUGGAGCGGCCGAUAUCAGAUUAGGUAGUUGGUGAGGUAAAGGCUCACCAAGCCGACGAUCUGUAGCUGGUCUGAGAGGACGACCAGCCACACUGGGACUGAGACACGGCCCAGACUCCUACGGGAGGCAGCAGUGGGGAAUUUUGGACAAUGGGCGCAAGCCUGAUCCAGCAAUGCCGCGUGCAGGAUGAAAGCCUUCGGGUUGUAACUGCUUUGUACGGAACGAAACGGUGAGCUCUAAUACAGUUUGCUAAUGACGGUACCGUAAGAAU